GAGGGUAUAUCUUAGAGGUAGAGUGUAUGCUUAGCAUGCACAAGGUCCUCGGUUCGAUCCCCUGUAUCUCCA
rnacentral:tRNA from 1 species